rnacentral:rRNA from 1 species
UACGGAGGGGACUAGCGUUGUUCGGAAUUACUGGGCGUAAAGCGCACGUAGGCGGAUUUGUAAGUCAGGGGUGAAAUCCCGGGGCUCAACCUCGGAACUGCCUUUGAUACUGCAAAUCUCGAGUCCGAUAGAGGUGGGUGGAAUUCCUAGUGUAGAGGUGAAAUUCGUAGAUAUUAGGAAGAACACCGGUGGCGAAGGCGGCCCACUGGAUCGGUACUGACGCUGAGGUGCGAAAGCGUGGGGAGCAAACAGG